AUUUACAGGUGAUUACAACCUUUGUGUAGAAUAACGUGUACAGAUGGUGUGGAGUACACCAUUUACAGGUGAUUACAACCUUUGUGUAGAAUAACGUGUACAGAUGGUGUGGAGUACACCAUUUACAGGUGAUUACAACCUUUGUGUAGAAUAACGUG